UACGAAGGUGGCAAGCGUUGUUCGGAUUUACUGGGCGUAAAGAGUGCGUAGGCGGUUUGAUAAGUCAGAAGUGAAAUCCCAGGGCUCAACCUUGGAAUUGCUUUUGAAACUAUUUUACUUGAAUUCGGUAGAGGUUGGCGGAAUUCUCAGUGUAGAGGUGAAAUUCGCAGAUAUUGAGAGGAACACCAGUGGCGUAAGCGGCCAACUGGACCGAUAUUGACGCUGAGGCACGAAAGCGUGGGUAGCAAACAGG
rnacentral:rRNA from 1 species